rnacentral:rRNA from 1 species
AUUGAACGCUGGCGGCAUGCCUUACACAUGCAAGUCGAACGGCAGCACGGGAGCAAUCCUGGUGGCGAGUGGCGAACGGGUGAGUAAUAUAUCGGAACGUGCCCAGUCGUGGGGGAUAACGUAGCGAAAGCUACGCUAAUACCGCAUACGAUCUAUGGAUGAAAGCGGGGGGAUCGCAAGACCUCGCGCGAUUGGAGCGGCCGAUAUCAGAUUAGGUAGUUGGUGAGGUAAAGGCUCACCAAGCCGACGAUCUGUAGCUGGUCUGAGAGGACGACCAGCCACACUGGGACUGAGACACGGGCCCCAGACUCCUACGGGAGGCAGCAGUGGGGGAAUUUUUGGGACAAUGGGCGCAAGCCUGAUCCAGCAAUGCCGCGUGCAGGAUGAAGGCCUUC